UUAAAUUUUCUUGUAGAAGAAUACAAUUAUAAGAUCAGCUAUCAGCUAAAAAUCAUCAAGCAAAAAAAUGAAGAAAAUAAAUUUAAUUUGAAUAAUAAAUUUAAAUGAUGGACAAAGCAAAAAAUGACAAUGAACGUGAAUAUAAAUGAAGUUGAGUUAUAGAGACAUACUUGGGGUAAAUAAAAAUUUUGUUUCUCACCCCCGUUAUCAUCGACAAAAAAAUAAGCUGAGUUUAUACGUAAAAAAUGGGGGGCGGCGGUAGAGGAGGUUGAGGUGGCUGUAGUGGGACGAGAAAGUUGGGUUGGGGAAGAAGCGCACAACGCAAUCUUUUUAAUUAUGAGAACGUGGCUUUGUAUUUCAUGUUUGUUUUGUUGUCAGCGCGCUACUCUAUUCGGCUUUUUUUAUAUUAUAACGUGGCGCGGGAGGCUGAUGGGUCAGGGGCGGAGGGAAGCGACCGAGAGAGCAACAGAGAGAAGAAGAGCGAGUAAGUGAGAUGGAGAAGAAACAGGGGGUAGAAGAGUGAGUUGGAGCCAGGGAAUUUGUGUACCACGUUCUUUUUACAAUCCUCUGGUGGAAAAUUUUAUUUUACAAGCUAAUUACUUUUAUCGGAUUCACUUGGUACCAAUAAAAUCCCAAGUCUCUGGAUAAAUUAUUGGUCACCAAAAAUCUGGUAAAAAAAUAAAACUUAUUGAGUAACAAUAAAAUCCCAGGUCUCUGGAUAAAUUAUUGGUCACCAAAAAUCUGGUCUCUGGACAAAUUAUUAUUGGUCACCGAAAAUCCGAAAAAAUAAAACUUAUUGAGUUAACCAGGUAACGAUGAAUCAAAGCCCUGGCAACACUAUUGUUAUAAUGGAAUCAAGAUCGCCAUUGAUUGAGAAAUACAAUGUUGCCGCCCCAAAACGCCCCAGUAUCUCUCGCUCUCCCUGGUACAUUAUUAAUUCCCUUGUCAAAAGCUCACAACUACCCCAUUGCAAUGCGCCACCGCGAGAUACCCGUUCUUUACUUUCACCCCCUCACUGAUGCUUUUGAUGCACGAGUUGCAAUCGUUUAAUUUACUUCAGCCACGCCCAUUUACUUUCUUAUUCCCUCAAGAUUAAAUUAAAUUUUACAACUCCGUAAUCAAAACAUAA